rnacentral:tRNA from 1 species
GGCUUUAUAGCUCAAUUGACAGAGCACAACACUGAUAAGGUUGAGAUUUGGGUUUGAAUCCCUUUAAAGCCA